UACGUAGGUGGCAAGCGUUAUCCGGAAUUAUUGGGCGUAAAGCGCUCGCAGGCGGUUUCUUAAGUCUGAUGUGAAAGCCCACGGCUCAACCGUGGAGGGUCAUUGGAAACUGGGAGACUUGAGUGCAGAAGAGGAGAGUGGAAUUCCACGUGUAGCGGUGAAAUGCGUAGAGAUGUGGAGGAACACCAGUGGCGAAGGCGACGUCCUGGACCGGCAUUGACGCUGAGGCGCGAAAGCCAGGGGAGCAAACGGG
rnacentral:rRNA from 1 species